GGACUUCAGGCAUCUAUAGAUUUGUAUAUCGAAGAUGAUCAUUUUGGUCAACUUUUAUCAACAUUUAUUAAAAGCAGCAAAAUAGCACAUGGCCUAUCCACACAGCAACUUGGUUUUUAACUAACGACCAGAUUGACACAUCCAUACACAACCUGCCUUACGGCCACGAUUAUAUGAAUGCAUUCUGGGACCUCCUACAUGGACUUCUGGGUAGUUUCCAACCACAAACUAUUGCACUGAGGAAUGGAUUUAGAGGACUGAAUUCAAUGGCUUUCUCCCAGUCUAGAGAAGAUCCCUCAAGCAUUGUACUGGUUCAACUGGACGAAGGCCCAGAUCAUUGCAGAUGGAUCACACCAGGUCGAGGCUUUGGCAGACCUGCACCAGAAACCUGCCCUUGAUGAGCCAGUCGUCGAGAUACGGGAAGAUCUGGACCUCCCGCAACGUCCCAGAAUGUUUGCAGGAUGUGUGUGCAUCACUGAGAUAUGAAAAUAGUAAACCACAUUCCAGAAGAAUAUUGUUCUGUCUACAAAUUUUUGGAACACUAAAAUGCUGCACAACGGAGGAGACAUUAUGAAAUACUACAUGCAAAAUAAAAAAAAUGUAGUGCAAAGAUCAACAUCUGCAGGAUUCAAGGUAAGGACUUGCUUUAGUUUUACCAUUCAGACAUACUGUUACUUGGAAUUAUUGGAAUUAAUGAAAUCAUACAGGAUUUUAGUAGUCAUGA